rnacentral:rRNA from 1 species
UACGAAGGGUGCAAGCGUUACUCGGAAUUACUGGGCGUAAAGCGUGCGUAGGUGGUCUGUUAAGUCUGAUGUGAAAGCCCUGGGCUCAACCUGGGAAUUGCAUUGGAUACUGGCAGGCUAGAGUGCGGUAGAGGGUAGUGGAAUUCCCGGUGUAGCAGUGAAAUGCGUAGAGAUGCGGAGGAACACCGAUGGCGAAGGCAGCCCCCUGGGCUAACACUGACGCUCAGGCACGAAAGCGUGGGGAGCAAACAGG